AAAAACCGAAGUUUUGCCUCUGUUUGGUUCCUGGGAAAAUGAAAUCAUUCCAGAUUUUCGUACUUCGUUGCAGCAAGUAGUGAAAAAUGAGCUUGUUUGUUUCCCUCGUACAAUCUGAUUAUCUUUUCUUUGAUCUCAGAAACAACGCCGGGAAGUUCACUCACGAGCAUGCUAUCUCCGAAGAUGGAAUCGAGAUGACCUUUGCUACCAAUUAUCUAGGUAAAAAUUGAAGAAAAAAACUGAAAUUAUUAUUUAUUCAAUUUAUUUGAGCUAAGUAAUAUAUAUACAUUUUCAAUGAAUUUCUCAGGUCAUUUUCUAUUGACCAAACUGUUACUAAAUAAGAUGAUCGAAACGGCGAAAAAGACCGGCGUUCAAGGUCGCAUCGUGAACGUAUCGUCGACCAUUCACAGCUGGUUUUCCGGCGACGUAAUCCGUUAUCUGGGGCUGAUAACCAGAAACAAAAGGUGAGAGAAAAACAUUGAAAAAUCCGGAACGGUAAUUGGACUGAUUCCAAAUAAAUGAUUAUGGCUUUGACCUUUUCUGAAAAUUUGUGUCGGUGUCUCCAGUCAAUACGAUGCGACACGUGCUUAUGCUGUCUCGAAGCUCGCCAAUGUUUUGCACACCAAGGAACUUGCUCAGAGAUUGAAGGUGAUUAUUA
rnacentral:lncRNA from 1 species